UCAGGCCUAACACAUGCAAGUCGAGCGGGGUUUUCGGACAUAGCGGCGGACGGGUGAGUAAUGCGUAGGAAGCUACCCGAUAGAGGGGGAUACCAGUUGGAAACGACUGUUAAUACCGCAUAAUGUCUACGGACCAAAGUGUGGGACCUUCGGGCCACAUGCUAUCGGAUGCGCCUACGUGGGAUUAGCUAGUUGGUGGGGUAAUGGCUCACCAAGGCGACGAUCCCUAGCUGGUUUGAGAGGAUGAUCAGCCACACUGGAACGGGGACACGGUCCAGACUCCUACGGGAGGCAGCAGUGGGGAAUAUUGGACAAUGGGCG
rnacentral:rRNA from 1 species